rnacentral:rRNA from 1 species
GACGAACGCUGGCGGCGUGCUUAACACAUGCAAGUCGAACGGAAAGGCCCUGCUUUUGUGGGGUGCUCGAGUGGCGAACGGGUGAGUAACACGUGAGUAACCUGCCCUUGACUUUGGGAUAACUUCAGGAAACUGGGGCUAAUACCGGAUAGGAGCUCCUGCUGCAUGGUGGGGGUUGGAACGUUUCGGCGGUUGGGGAUGGACUCGGGGCUUAUCAGCUUGUUGGUGGGGUAGUGGCUUACCAAGGCUUUGACGGGUAGCCGGCCUGGGAGGGUGACCGGCCACAUUGGGACUGAGAUACGGCCCAGACUCCUACGGGAGGCAGCAGUGGGGAAUAUUGCACAAUGGGCGGACGCCUGAUGCAGCAACGCCGCGUGCGGGAUGACGGCCUUCGGGUUGUAAACCGCUUUCGCCUGUGACGAAGCGUGAGUGACGGUAAUGGGUAAAGAAGCACCGGCUAACUACGUG